UACGUAGGGUGCAAGCGUUGCCCGGAUUUAUUGGGCGUAAAGGGCGCGUAGGCGGCUCGGCACGUCCGUUGUGAAAUCGCCCGGCUCAACUGGGCGGGGUCAGCGGAUACGGUCGAGCUUGAGCAAGCUAGGGGGCAAUGGAAUUCCCGGUGUAGUGGUGGAAUGCGUAGAUAUCAGGAGGAACACCGAUGGCGAAGGCAGGUCUCUGGGCCACUACUGACGCUGAGAAGCGAAAGCAUGGGGAGCGAACAGG
rnacentral:rRNA from 1 species